rnacentral:misc_RNA from 1 species
UAAAAUAAUGGUUCUCUAGGUUGAGUUUUAAAAUUUUAUUUUAAAAUUCCUUGGAGAAUUCCAAUCAACCCCUAUGUGCACUGUAAAUGUUUUUCGAGUACUUUUUAUGAAAGAGUACUCGACCAUAUUUAACAACCCCAAUUUUUAAUUUGUCUGAAUUUUUUUUAUAAAAUAAAAAAAUA